AGAGGCAGACCAGGGGAACUGAAACAUCUAAGUACCCUGAGGAAGAGAAAACAAUAGUGAUUCCGUCAGUAGCGGCGAGCGAACGCGGAUUAGCCCAAACCAAGGAGCUUGCUCCUUGGGGUUGUGGGACGUCUCACAUGGAGUUACAAAGGAACCGGUUAGAUGAAGAGGUCUGGAAAGGCCCGCCAGAGAAGGUAAAAGCCCUGUAGUUCAAAACCCGUUCCCUCCGAGACGGAUCCC
rnacentral:rRNA from 1 species